CCCCUCUGGUGCCUGCUUCAAAAUCAGCCUGCAUCUGUCCUCCCUCCCCCCCUCAGGGACCCGGUGAGUCGCUGCGGGACCGUUGUCACACUCUUCAGGUGAUGCGACACCAGAAUAGCGCUUCAUUAACAAAGUCCCUGUGUGAUUCAUCAGCAAAACCAAGAGGAAUUUAUUUUAAUUUCCUUGUUUGACUUCCUUAAUUCACCUUUUAAUUGAAGUACCUUCUCAAACUGGUUUUGAAGUGCUCACAGACGAGUGGUUGCAAAUUAGUGGCAGGUGGAGGGAUUAAAAAAAAAAAGGAAAAAAGAAGACAAUUCAAAGCCAAAUUUGAGGAUUUGACCUGCAGGGCCUCUUGUGCUACAAGCGGCUCCGUACAAUCAGUGCUGCUGCUGAGCUGAACACAGUAAUCACUUGGUAGGCGACCUUUGAGAGCCUCCGAAUGAACCUCCCACAUAAUGAGAGCAUCAUUAGUCACAUCCCUGCACCAUCUGAAGUCUAACAUCUCUGGAGGUGUUGCACACAUUGUUGUUGUUCUUUUCUUUUUAAACCCCAGUGACUGAAAUUACAUAUUACAUAGUUUUGGUUCACAAGAGGAAAGUCAUUGAUCCUUUUUUUUUUAUUAGUACGUUCUGUCUUUGUUUGCCUUCUUGAAGUUGUGAAAAAAUAAAAAUCAUUCCCGUUCUUGUUUCUAUAAUAACGCGGCACUCGUGGGACUGUUUUCUGAAAUAAUGAUGUCAUGUAAGAAGGAGCGAAUGCAGUGCGGUGGACUUUCUUUGCCUGACCUGCCGUGUUUCAGCUCAUCGGUGGUUAGAAACGGUUCUCUAUUGUUCCAGCGGUCUGCAUCCCUCCACUCUCACGACAAUAUGAAUACUUCCCCAUCUGUUUGGUGUUGGCUUUCAAACCGCACUUAGCUGCGAACCCACAGCCAUGCCAGACAUCUACUGUUUAAUUAAAAAAAAGAAAAGAAAGGAAUCAGAAUAAAAUUAUACCGUCAUAAAAGAGUCUUGCCAACAACAACAUUAUCGUUUGACACUCAGCAUGUCAGAGGGAAAAAAAAGUGCUUCAUAUCACAGUAAAGAGAUCCAACCUUUGAAGAGUGUGGGUGUGAAUAGGGGUGUGUGUGUGUGUGUGUGUGUGUGUGUGAACUGCUAAUUUUAAAGCUUCAAAGAUCGCUUUUAGGUAACCACAAAAGAAUAACCUCUGACACCCAAACAAACAAACAUGAGCCACAUUUAAAUAGCACAAGUUGGAAAAGCUCACUUCUCUGGUUUCUGCGUGCAUGCAUGCGUGUGUGUGUGUGUGUGUGUGUGUGCGCUGUAGCAUGCGCGUGUGUCAUGAAGGAGCAGGGACAUGUCUAUUAUGUGCAGUUUGAUUAAAGCAUGAUGGCUGGUGUCCAAUCUGCUUUCCAGGGGAGCGCCUUGACAGCCGGCGGCGCGUCUACCUGCUGCCUCCUCGCCGUGUUAGGUGAUUUACGGCUGACUCCCUCCGUUUAUGAACUGCCUUAUUUUCCUUUCUACCCCGCUGAGUGCCAGGUUCAGAACUCCUGAAGAAAUAUUAUGCUUUGCUGACAAAAUACAGUGACAGCCGUCUCCCGGCCUUAAAAAGGAGAGCCGGAGUGUUUAACGGUACGGGAGCCUAUGGGAGACGCGGGCGAGGCGGAAGCCAUCAGUGAGCGCGCGGCCCGCUGAAACGAGCGUUUGAUCCCAACCGCCGCAGCGAUUGGGUGCAAUGACGUUUGCAGCCGAGUUAGAAUCUACUUUCAAUUAAAAGGAAUGACACAGAGGGGGGGGAGAGGUCUGUAAAACAGACGGUAAAAAUUUAUUGAACAACUUUUACUGGGGUCUUGUCAGAGAAACAUGUGGCGCACAAAUGAAAUGUUUGUUUCGACAGGCGGGGUUCGCCUGCAGACAAGCAGGCAACUCGACGCCGGGGACUUUUUCAUUAACCCCCGAGUUCAAACCCCCCCCCACCCCCCCUGCUGCUGUUUCAGGCUUUUUGUGUUGGGGGGGAAAGCAACAAUUUGAUGUAAAAGGAUGAGUAUAAAUACCCCGUGUUGUUCAAGCGCCGCCAUGUUCUUCCCGUUCGUUCCUGCUCUCUCCUUCACAAGAGCGACUCCGAGUCCCGUAAUGAGGUGUUGUAGCGUCCCGGGGCGUUAUCAUUCGCCGCAUUAUUAUUUCAAAAGCCUUCGACAACGCCGCCUCCCUCUGAUGUAAUUCUCAUGCAUAUGGAAGGUGCUCCGGCGGUGUUUAGGAGCAGGCGACCCGCGCUAAAUAAAAGGCGCCACCGCGAACCUAAUGAGACAAACCAGUGCGCUCGGAGCAGCCGGGGGGGCCCGGGGGGCCCGGACGGACACCCAUGUCGUCUGCCGUCAGCUUCUGCAGCCACCAGCUACUACGAAUCUGACGCUACGAAAAAUAAACACACCCCCCCCCCCCCCUGCAUCUGAGGCCGACUAUAAAUAAAGAGUGUCAUCGUAACCUAAUCAAAUUAUGAGACGUAUUUUGGUUGGUUUGUCAGUUGUCUGAGGCUCUCUCUCCCCCUCUCUCUCUCUCUCUCUCUCCCCCUCUCUCUCUCAGCAGACGAGGCACAGUGAAUCCCCUGAGGUCCUCUCAUCUCUCCCUCUCCCUCUUCAGGAGCUGCCGACUCUCUUCUCUUUAUGGCACACCCAGAAGGAUUAAGCGCAAAUGGCAUUCACAUGAUUUCAAUAAGCUCAGGGAGACAAGAACCAGCCUUUCAGCACAUUAGCUUUUUUUUCUUUUUUUUUUUUUUUGCUGUGGAGGACACAAAGCAGACACAAGAGCUGCAGCGGGAAGAAAGAAAGAAAAACAAGAACACACAGUUAAUAAAGAUCAUAAUAAUGCAGCGGUCCGGCGCGGCUGCAACGGAAUUAUACCGGCCCCAAAAAAUUGGACUCCUGAGUGGUGAUGACGGCAAUGAUGGUCCUGAUUGGGUUGGACGUGAGGCCGAUGUGACUUUAUCUCAAAGCCAUGAUGCAGAUCUUUCAAGCGUUAUGUAUCCCUGAUGAGCCUCAAGUGUUUCAUUUAAGGCCCUGUGAGUCAUUAGAGGUCAAACAAAAAGAGUUUGUCAUUAAAAGAGUCAUUCAAACACCUGAUCAGAGCUGGAUGUAACUCCCCGAGUGGAGAAAAUAACUGCUGACACUUGUUUUUACAACAUGUUUUCUGUUGCUGAUUUAGUUAAUUUACGUUUAAUUAAAUCUGCAACAAUUAAUUGAUUUUACAUUUAGAGUUGAAUAGCAUACAGCGCAGUACGCUGUAGGCGGAGCUUCCUUCUGUAACAUUUCCUGACGCUAACUGCAGCCUCUUUGUGUCGGUGAAACCAAAACGCUAGAUAACGUUGACAAAAGGCCGUUCAGAUGCCAAAGAGCAAAACAAUUAAUCAAGAAGAGGAGAGAAGAGAGCAAAUAUUAGCAGCACAUUUAACAAGCGGCCAGAAGAACUAAAAGUUCACGCCUUCACCUUCAAAUUUUCAAAUUUUUAAACGAAUAAAUUUAAUCAAGUUCAGAUUAAACGUUUGAAUUUAC
ensembl:lncRNA